rnacentral:rRNA from 1 species
UCGACCAGCCAAAUACCUCAUAAAGGGCCAGUCUGUUUGUUUAAACGAAUUCGCCCUUAGAGUUUCAUCCUGGCUCAGGAUAAACGCUGGCGGCGCACAUAAGACAUGCAAGUCGAACGGACUUAACCAUUAGUUUACUAUUGGAGCGGUUAGUGGCGGACUGGUGAGUAACACGUAAGCAACCUGCCUAUCAGAGGGGAACAACAGUUAGAAAUGACUGCUAAUACCGCAUAUGCCUAAGUACCACAUGAUACAAUAGGGAAAGGAGCAAUCCGCUGAUAGAUGGGCUUGCGUCUGAUUAGAUAGUUGGUGGGGUAAAGGCCUACCAAGUCGACGAUCAGUAGCCGGACUGAGAGGUUGAACGGCCACAUUGGGACUGAGAUACGGCCCAGACUCCUACGGGAGGCAGCAGUCGGGAAUAUUGCGCAAUGGAGGAAACUCUGACGCAGUGACGCCGCGUGCAGGAAGAAGGUUUUCGGAUUGUAAACUGCUUUAGACAGGGAAGAAACAAGACAGUACCUGUAGAAUAAGCUCCGGCUAACUACGUGCCAGCAGCCGCGGUAAUACGUAGGGAGCGAGCGUUAUCCGGAUUUAUUGGGUGUAAAGGGUGCGUANACGGGAAGAUAAGUUAGUUGUGAAAUCCCUCGGCUUAACUGAGGAACUGCAACUAAAACUGUUUUUCUUGAGUACUGGAGAGGAAAGUGGAAUUCCUAGUGUAGCGGUGAAAUGCGUAGAUAUUAGGAGGAACACCAGUGGCGAAGGCGACUUUCUGGACAGAAACUGACGUUGAGGCACGAAAGUGUGGGGAGCAAACAGGAUUAGAUACCCUGGUAGUCCACACCGUAAACGAUGGAUACUAGGUGUAGGGGAUAAUAAAUUCUCUGUGCCGUCGCAAACGCAAUAAGUAUCCCACCUGGGGAGUACGGCCGCAAGGUUGAAACUCAAAGGAAUUGACGGGGGCCCGCACAAGCAGUGGAGUAUGUGGUUUAAUUCGACGCAACGCGAAGAACCUUACCAGGGCUUGACAUAUACAGGAAUAAGCUAGAGAUAGUUUAGCUCUUCGGAGUCUGUAUACAGGUGGUGCAUGGUUGUCGUCAGCUCGUGUCGUGAGAUGUUGGGUUAAGUCCCGCAACGAGCGCAACCCCUGUUUCCAGUUGCCAGCACAUAAUGGUGGGGACUCUGGAGAGACUGCCGGUGAUAAAUCGGAGGAAGGUGGGGACGACGUCAAAUCAUCAUGCCCUUUAUGUCCUGGGCUACACACGUACUACAAUGGCUAUAACAAAGAGAAGCGAAACCGCGAGGAGGAGCAAAACUCAAAAAAGUAGUCUCAGUUCGGAUUGCAGGCUGAAAUUCGCCUGCAUGAAGCCGGAAUUGCUGGUAAUGGCAGGUCAGCAUACUGCCGUGAAUACGAUCC